GUGGGGAAUAUUGGACAAUGGGCGAAAGCCUGAUCCAGCCAUGCCGCGUGUGUGAAGAAGGUCUUCGGAUUGUAAAGCACUUUAAGUUGGGAGGAAGGGCAGUAAGUUAAUACCUUGCUGUUUUUACGUUACCGACAGAAUAAGCACCGGCUAACUUCGUGCCAGCAGCCGCGGUAAUACGAAGGGUGCAAGCGUUAAUCGGAAUUACUGGGCGUAAAGCGCGCGUAGGUGGUUUUGUAAGUUGGAGGUGAAAUCCCCGGGCUCAACCUGGGAACUGCCUUCAAAACUGCAUGACUAGAGUACGGUAGAGGGUAGUGGAAUUUCCUGUGUAGCGGUGAAAUGCGUAGAUAUAGGAAGGAACACCAGUGGCGAAGGCGACUACCUGGACUGAUACUGACACUGAGGUGCGAAAGCGUGGGGAGCAAACAGGAUUAGAUACCCGUGUAGUCC
rnacentral:rRNA from 1 species